GAUGAAGAACGUAGCGAAAUGCGAUAAGUAGUGUGAAUUGCAGAAUUCAGUGAAUCAUCGAAUCUUUGAACGCACAUUGCGCCCCUUGGUAUCCCGAGGGGCAUGCCUGUUCGAGCGUCAUUUCACCACUCAAGCCUGGCUUGGUGUUGGGCGACGUCCUCUUUGGGGACGCGCCUCGAAACGCUCGGCGGCGUGGCACCGGCUUUAAGCGUAGCAGAAUCUUUCGCUUUGGAAGUCGGGGCCCCGUCUGCCGGAAGACCUGCUCGCAAGGUUGACCUCGGAUCAGGCAGGGAUACCCGCUGAACUUAAGCGUAUCAAUAAGCGGAGGA
rnacentral:misc_RNA from 1 species